GUGUAGCUCAUAUUUUUUAAUUUUUAGUUUGGUUAAGUUAGAAAGGGCGCACGGUGGAUGCCUUGACACUAGGAGUCGAUGAAGGACGGGACUAACGCCGAUAUGCUUCGGGGAGCUGUAAGUAAGCUUUGAUCCGAAGAUUUCCGAAUGGGGAAACCCACCAUACGUAAUGGUAUGGUAUCCUUAUCUGAAUACAUAGGGUAAGGAAGACAGACCCAGGGAACUGAAACAUCUAAGUACCUGGAGGAAGAGAAAGCAAAUGCGAUUUCCUGAGUAGCGGCGAGCGAAACGGAACAUAGCCCAAACCAAGAGGCUUGCCUCUUGGGGUUGUAGGACAUUCUAUACGGAGUUACAAAGGAACGAGGUAGACGAAGCGACCUGGAAAGGUCCGUCGUAGAGGGUAACAACCCCGUAGUCGAAACUUCGUUCUCUCUUGAAUGUAUCCUGAGUACGGCGGAACACGUGAAAUUCCGUCGGAAUCUGGGAGGACCAUCUCCCAAGGCUAAAUACUCCCUAGUGAUCGAUAGUGAACCAGUACCGUGAGGGAAAGGUGAAAAGCACCCCGGAAGGGGAGUGAAAGAGAUCCUGAAACCGUGUGCCUACAAAUAGUCAGAGCCCGUUAACGGGUGAUGGCGUGCCUUUUGUAGAAUGAACCGGCGAGUUACGAUCCCGUGCGAGGUUAAGCUGAAGAGGCGGAGCCGCAGCGAAAGCGAGUCUGAAUAGGGCGUUUAGUACGUGGUCGUAGACCCGAAACCAGGUGAUCUACCCAUGUCCAGGGUGAAGUUCAGGUAACACUGAAUGGAGGCCCGAACCCACGCACGUUGAAAAGUGCGGGGAUGAGGUGUGGGUAGCGGAGAAAUUCCAAUCGAACCUGGAGAUAGCUGGUUCUCCCCGAAAUAGCUUUAGGGCUAGCCUUAAGUGUAAGAGUCUUGGAGGUAGAGCACUGAUUGGACUAGGGGUCCUCAUCGGAUUACCGAAUUCAGUCAAACUCCGAAUGCCAAUGACUUAUCCUUAGGAGUCAGACUGCGAGUGAUAAGAUCCGUAGUCAAAAGGGAAACAGCCCAGACCGCCAGCUAAGGUCCCAAAGUGUGUAUUAAGUGGAAAAGGAUGUGGAGUUGCUUAGACAACUAGGAUGUUGGCUUAGAAGCAGCCACCAUUUAAAGAGUGCGUAAUAGCUCACUAGUCGAGUGACUCUGCGCCGAAAAUGUACCGGGGCUAAAUACACCACCGAAGCUGCGGAUUGAUACCAAUGGUAUCAGUGGUAGGGGAGCGUUCUAAGGACAGUGAAGUCAGACCGGAAGGACUGGUGGAGUGCUUAGAAGUGAGAAUGCCGGUAUGAGUAGCGAAAGACGGGUGAGAAUCCCGUCCACCGAAUGCCUAAGGUUUCCUGAGGAAGGCUCGUCCGCUCAGGGUUAGUCAGGACCUAAGCCGAGGCCGACAGGCGUAGGCGAUGGACAACAGGUUGAUAUUCCUGUACCACCUCUUUAUCGUUUGAGCAAUGGAGGGACGCAGAAGGAUAGAAGAAGCGUGCGAUUGGUUGUGCACGUCCAAGCAGUUAGGCUGAUAAGUAGGCAAAUCCGCUUAUCGUAAAGGCUGAGCUGUGAUGGGGAAGCUCCUUAUGGAGCGAAGUCUUUGAUUCCCCGCUGCCAAGAAAAGCUUCUAGCGAGAUAAAAGGUGCCUGUACCGCAAACCGACACAGGUAGGCGAGGAGAGAAUCCUAAGGUGUGCGAGAGAACUCUGGUUAAGGAACUCGGCAAAAUGACCCCGUAACUUCGGGAGAAGGGGUGCUUUCUUAACGGAAAGCCGCAGUGAAUAGGCCCAAGCGACUGUUUAGCAAAAACACAGCUCUCUGCGAAGCCGUAAGGCGAAGUAUAGGGGGUGACACCUGCCCGGUGCUGGAAGGUUAAGGAGAGGGGUUAGCGUAAGCGAAGCUCUGAACUGAAGCCCCAGUAAACGGCGGCCGUAACUAUAACGGUCCUAAGGUAGCGAAAUUCCUUGUCGGGUAAGUUCCGACCCGCACGAAAGGUGUAACGAUUUGGGCACUGUCUCAACCAGAGACUCGGUGAAAUUAUAGUACCUGUGAAGAUGCAGGUUACCCGCGACAGGACGGAAAGACCCCGUGGAGCUUUACUGUAGCCUGAUAUUGAAUUUUGGUACAGUUUGUACAGGAUAGGCGGGAGCCAUUGAAACCGGAGCGCUAGCUUCGGUGGAGGCGCUGGUGGGAUACCGCCCUGACUGUAUUGAAAUUCUAACCUACGGGUCUUAUCGACCCGGGAGACAGUGUCAGGUGGGCAGUUUGACUGGGGCGGUCGCCUCCUAAAGUGUAACGGAGGCGCCCAAAGGUUCCCUCAGAAUGGUUGGAAAUCAUUCGUAGAGUGCAAAGGCAUAAGGGAGCUUGACUGCGAGACCUACAAGUCGAGCAGGGACGAAAGUCGGGCUUAGUGAUCCGGUGGUUCCGCAUGGAAGGGCCAUCGCUCAACGGAUAAAAGCUACCCCGGGGAUAACAGGCUUAUCUCCCCCAAGAGUCCACAUCGACGGGGAGGUUUGGCACCUCGAUGUCGGCUCAUCGCAUCCUGGGGCUGUAGUCGGUCCCAAGGGUUGGGCUGUUCGCCCAUUAAAGCGGUACGCGAGCUGGGUUCAGAACGUCGUGAGACAGUUCGGUCCCUAUCCGUCGUGGGCGUAGGAAAUUUGAGAGGAGCUGUCCUUAGUACGAGAGGACCGGGAUGGACGCACCGCUGGUGUACCAGUUGUUCUGCCAAGGGCAUAGCUGGGUAGCUAUGUGCGGAAGGGAUAAGUGCUGAAAGCAUCUAAGCAUGAAGCCCCCCUCAAGAUGAGAUUUCCCAUAGCGUAAGCUAGUAAGAUCCCUGAAAGAUGAUCAGGUUGAUAGGUUCGAGGUGGAAGCAUGGUGACAUGUGGAGCUGACGAAUACUAAUAGAUCGAGGACUUAACCAU
rnacentral:rRNA from 1 species